UACAGAGGAGCCAAGCGUUGUCCGGAUUUAUUGGGCGUAAAGGGCGCGCAGGCGGCUACGCACGUCCGUUGUGAAAUCGCUCGGCUCAACUGGGCGGGGUCAGCGGAUACGGCGUAGCUGGAGCAAGCUAGGGGGCAAUGGAAUUCCCGGUGUAGUGGUGGAAUGCGUAGAUAUCGGGAGGAACACCAGUGGCGAAGGCGGUUGCCUGGAGCUUUGCUGACGCUGAGGCGCGAAAGCGUGGGGAGCGAUCCGG
rnacentral:rRNA from 1 species